rnacentral:rRNA from 1 species
GACGAACGCUGGCGGCAUGCCUAACACAUGCAAGUCGAGCGAGCAGAUCCCUUCGGGGUGAAGCUAGCGGCGGACGGGUGAGUAACACGUGGGCAACCUGCCUCAUAGAGGGGAAUAGCCUUCCGAAAGGGAGAUUAAUACCGCAUAAGAUUGUAGCUUCGCAUGAAGCAGCAAUUAAAGGAGUAAUCCGCUAUGAGAUGGGCCCGCGGCGCAUUAGCUAGUUGGUGAGGUAACGGCUCACCAAGGCGACGAUGCGUAGCCGACCUGAGAGGGUGAUCGGCCACAUUGGGACUAAGACACGGCCCAGACUCCUACGGGAGGCAGCAGUGGGGAAUAUUGCACAAUGGGGGAAACCCUGAUGCAGUAAUGCCGCGUGAGUGAUGACGGCCUUCGGGUUGUAAAGCUCUGUCUUUGGGGACGAUAAUGACGGUACCCGAGGAGGAAGCCACGGCUAACUACGUGCCAGCCGCCGCCGUAA